rnacentral:rRNA from 1 species
UACGAAGGGGGCUAGCGUUGUUCGGAAUUACUGGGCGUAAAGGGUGCGUAGGCGGUUUUUCAAGUCAGGCGUGAAAGCCCUGGGCUCAACCCAGGAAUUGCGUUUGAGACUGAAUGACUAGAGUGUGAGAGAGGUGAGUGGAAUUCCCAGUGUAGAGGUGAAAUUCGUAGAUAUUGGGAAGAACAUCAGUGGCGAAGGCGGCUCACUGGAUCACAACUGACGCUAAGGCACGAAAGCGUGGGGAGCAAACAGG